GAUAACUCAAAUUCCACACCUAUUAUUGAAUUUUUUGCACCUUCGGAGACCAGCCAUAGACCAUGGGAGUCAAUAAGUCCUUUCUUUGCCCCUAAUUAUGAUCUGUGUCCGGAGUUGAUUGCAAUAGGUCAAAUCCAACCCUUUUCUAUAGCUGAGCUCCUAUCUUUUAAUCGAGAAGAUAAUGAACUUUUAGCUACACCUAGGGAAUCUUUUAAUCUUUCUAUAAAUUCUGG
rnacentral:lncRNA from 1 species